AGCUGCCGUCUGUGUGCUUCCUAUGGGGAUGGCCUGUUUGUCCUCUCUGUCUCUGCCGCCGGCAGCUCGCCGCUGUUUAUUUUAAUCAGCACUCUGUUUGCCAAAGAGCUGCUGCUUUUUCUCUCCUGGAGAUGGCAGUGCUUGUGUUUUUCUUUGUGGUGCAGGUGGGGCACGACAGCAGGAAUAGUCCCCAACUUUUCCCGGUGGGCCGGUCGAAUGUCGGAACCAAUUUAAAUAUACAAAGAUUUUAAAGGAGGAAAACGUUUUUUUCUAUCCUCAGGCCAACCCAUUUAAGCUCCACUGGUGGACCCUGGCAUGCAUGGGAGACACAGAAUAAUGGAUGCAGUACCUUCUCAUCUGGCAGUGAGGGAGCAUCUGUUUGCCAUUGUACCAAACAUCAAGCAGGUAGCCGGGGUGGAAGCACCUCUGCUGUCGAGCAUUCGGUCAGAUCUAGGAUCUUGCGGAAGAUGCCACUCCAUUCUCACUGCAGUAAACAGCAAAGGAGAAUGUGAUGACACCCCUUUAUUCCAUCAUCCAGGUUCUUCUAAAAGUGCUGUGCUAACAUCAGACGUGCGUCUUUGCUGCGGGAUGCAGAGCUUGUGAUGAUUGUCGUUGGAACCCCUUUGGGCUGAGAGAGAGCUGAAUGCUGAUCCGGUCCAGAAUCUGGAAAAGACCGAAGGAUUCAAAAUCAGGUCAUCAUCACUGUGCCACGCAUGAGUGAUACGUAAUGUGUGCUGUGAGGACUUCAUGUAUUUCUCAUGGUGCAGGUGCAUUGACCUCCUUUCCUUGACUGCAGACCCUGGACCCCCUUCACGCCCUUUCCUCUGAUGGGCCAUUCCAGCUAUAACACACAUCUGUAUUUCCCCUGGGAUGCUAUCAGACUCCAUGGUGUACAUGCUACAAUUUUCCACAUCAUAUGAUACAAGCCAAGGUUGUUUUAGUUUACUAAAAUUAAAACUUUGAAAACGUCUCUGUUCAUUGAAAUCAAACAAAAUAUUGACCCAAAAAUUAUGGGAAAAACUUAAGGAAAACUUUAAAUGUUGCCUCAAAAAUGAAUUGAAAUAAGCUUAAAGCACUAAAAUAAUAAUAAUAAACUAAAACUAAA